rnacentral:rRNA from 1 species
GACGAACCGUGCGAACGUUAUUCGGAAUCACUGGGCUUAAAGGGCGCGUAGGCGGGUUGCCAAGUCUGUGGUGAAAUCCUCCAGCUUAACUGGAGAACGGCCGUGGAUACUGGCGACCUCGAGGGGGGUAGGGGCUUGCGGAACUGUGCGUGGAGCGGUGAAAUGCGUUGAUAUGCACAGGAACUCCGGUGGCGAAGGCGGCGAGCUGGACCCUUUCUGACACUGAGGCGCGAAAGCCAGGGGAGCGAACGGG